UAGGGAAUCUUCGGCAAUGGGGGGAACCCUGACCGAGCAACGCCGCGUGAGUGAAGAAGGUUUUCGGAUCGUAAAGCUCUGUUGUUAAGGAAGAACGAGUGUGAGAAUGGAAAGUUCAUACUGUGAAGGUACUUAACCAGAAAGGGACGGCUAACUACGUGCCAGCAGCCGCGGUAAUACGUAGGUCCCGAGCGUUGUCCGGAUUUAUUGGGCGUAAAGCGAGCGCAGGCGGUUAGAUAAGUCUGAAGUUAAAGGCAGUGGCUCAACCAUUGUAGGCUUUGGAAACUGUUUAACUUGAGUGCAGAAGGGGAGAGUGGAAUUCCAUGUGUAGCGGUGAAAUGCGUAGAUAUAUGGAGGAACACCAGUGGCGAAGGCGACUCUCUGGUCUGUAACUGACGCUGAGGCUCGAAAGCGUGGGUAGCAAACAGG
rnacentral:rRNA from 1 species